CCCUUAGAUGUCCUGGGCUGCACGCGCGCUACAAUAAUACGCACAGCGAGUAUCACCGAGCUCGAAAGGGCAAGGUAAACAAUAGAAAAGGUACUGUAAUGGUUAUAGAUCCUUGUAAUUAUUGAUCUUCAACGAGGAAUUCCUAGUAAGUAUGUGUCAUCAUCACGCACUGAUUACGUCCCUGCCCUUUGUACACACCGCCCGUCGCUCCUACCGAUUGAGUGAGCCGAUGAAACUGCCGGAUGUGGACUAUUCAUAGUCUGCAGAAGAUAUUUGAAUCGUAGCGCUUAGAGGAAGGAGAAGUCGUAACA
rnacentral:rRNA from 1 species